CUGGCUCAGAACGAACGCUGGCGGCGUGGAUAAGACAUGCAAGUCGAACGAGAGAAUUGCUAGCUUGCUAAUAAUUCUCUAGUGGCGCACGGGUGAGUAACACGUGAGUAACCUGCCCCCGAGAGCGGGAUAGCCCUGGGAAACUGGGAUUAAUACCGCAUAGUAUCGAAAGAUUAAAGCAGCAAUGCGCUUGGGGAUGGGCUCGCGGCCUAUUAGUUAGUUGGUGAGGUAACGGCUCACCAAGGCGAUGACGGGUAGCCGGUCUGAGAGGAUGUCCGGCCACACUGGAACUGAGACACGGUCCAGACACCUACGGGUGGCAGCAGUCGAGAAUCAUUCACAAUGGGGGAAACCCUGAUGGUGUGACGCCGCGUGGGGGAAUGAAGGUCUUCGGAUUGUAAACCCCUGUCAUGUGGGAGCAAAUUAAAAAGAUAGUACCACAAGAGGAAGAGACGGCUAACUCUGUGCCAGCAGCCGCGGUAAUACAGAGGUCUCAAGCGUUGUUCGGAAUCACUGGGCGUAAAGCGUGCGUAGGCUGUUUCGUAAGUCGUGUGUGAAAGGCGCGGGCUCAACCCGCGGACGGCACAUGAUACUGCGAGACUAGAGUAAUGGAGGGGGAACCGGAAUUCUCGGUGUAGCAGUGAAAUGCGUAGAUAUCGAGAGGAACACUCGUGGCGAAGGCGGGUUCCUGGACAUUAACUGACGCUGAGGCACGAAGGCCAGGGGAGCGAAAGGGAUUAGAUACCCCUGUAGUCCUGGCAGUAAACGGUGCACGCUUGGUGUGCGGGGAAUCGACCCCCUGCGUGCCGGAGCUAACGCGUUAAGCGUGCCGCCUGGGGAGUACGGUCGCAAGAUUAAAACUCAAAGAAAUUGACGGGGACCCGCACAAGCGGUGGAGUAUGUGGCUUAAUUCGAUGCAACGCGAAGAACCUUACCUGGGCUUGACAUGUAAUGAACAACAUGUGAAAGCAUGCGACUCUUCGGAGGCGUUACACAGGUGCUGCAUGGCCGUCGUCAGCUCGUGUCGUGAGAUGUUUGGUUAAGUCCAGCAACGAGCGCAACCCCUGUUGCCAGUUACCAGCACGUGAAGGUGGGGACUCUGGCGAGACUGCCCAGAUCAACUGGGAGGAAGGUGGGGACGACGUCAGGUCAGUAUGGCCCUUAUGCCCAGGGCUGCACACGUACUACAAUGCCCAGUACAGAGGGGGCCGAAGCCGCGAGGCGGAGGAAAUCCUGAAAACUGGGCCCAGUUCGGACUGUAGGCUGCAACCCGCCUACACGAAGCCGGAAUCGCUAGUAAUGGCGCAUCAGCUACGGCGCCGUGAAUACGUUCCCGGGUCUUGCACUCACCGCCCGUCA
rnacentral:rRNA from 1 species